rnacentral:rRNA from 1 species
UACGUAGGGUCCGAGCGUUGUCCGGAAUUACUGGGCGUAAAGAGCUCGUAGGUGGUUUGUCGCGUUGUUCGUGAAAACUCACAGCUUAACUGUGGGCGUGCGGGCGAUACGGGCAGACUUGAGUACUGCAGGGGAGACUGGAAUUCCUGGUGUAGCGGUGAAAUGCGCAGAUAUCAGGAGGAACACCGGUGGCGAAGGCGGGUCUCUGGGCCGAUACUGACGCUGAGGAGCGAAAGCGUGGGGAGCAAACAGG